rnacentral:rRNA from 1 species
UUCGAAGCAACGCGAAGAACCUUACCAGGUCUUGACAUUCCGAUGUCUAUUUCUAGAGAUAGAAGUUACUUCGGUACAUCGGUGACAGGUGGUGCAUGGUUGUCGUCAGCUCGUGUCGUGAGAUGUUGGGUUAAGUCCCGCAACGAGCGCAACCCCUAUUGUUAGUUGCCAUCAUUCAGUUGGGCACUCUAGCGAGACUGCCGGUAAUAAACCGGAGGAAGUGGGGAUGACGUCAAAUCAUCAUGCCCCUUAUGACCUGGGCUACACACGUGCUACAAUGGUUGGUACAACGAGUUGCGAGUCGGUGACGGCGAGCUAAUCUCUUAAAGCCAAUCUCAGUUCGGAUUGUAGGCUGCAACUCGCCUACAUGAAGUCGGAAUCGCUAGUAAUCGCGGAUCAGCACGCCGCGGUGAAUACGUUCCCGGGCCUU